rnacentral:rRNA from 1 species
AUUGAACGCUGGCGGCAGGCUUAACACAUGCAAGUCGAGCGGGGUGAUGGUGCUUGCACUAUCACUUAGCGGCGGACGGGUGAGUAAUGCUUAGGAAUCUGCCUAUUAGUGGGGGACAACAUCUCGAAAGGGAUGCUAAUACCGCAUACGUCCUACGGGAGAAAGCAGGGGAUCACUUGUGACCUUGCGCUAAUAGAUGAGCCUAAGUCGGAUUAGCUAGUUGGUGGGGUAAAGGCCUACCAAGGCGACGAUCUGUAGCGGGUCUGAGAGGAUGAUCCGCCACACUGGGACUGAUACACGGCCCAGACUCCUACGGGAGGCAGCAGUGGGGAAUAUUGGACAAUGGGGGGAACCCUGAUCCAGCCAUGCCGCGUGUGUGAAGAAGGCCUUAUGGUUGUAAAGCACUUUAAGCGAGGAGGAGGCUCUUUUGGUUAAUACCCAAGAUAAGUGGACGUUACUCGCAGAAUAAGCACCGGCUAACUCUGUGCCAGCCGCCGCCGUAA